rnacentral:rRNA from 1 species
UACGUAGGGCGCAAGCGUUAUCCGGAAUUAUUGGGCGUAAAGAGCUCGUAGGCGGUUUGUCGCGUCUGCCGUGAAAGUCCGGGGCUCAACUCCGGAUCUGCGGUGGGUACGGGCAGACUAGAGUGAUGUAGGGGAGACUGGAAUUCCUGGUGUAGCGGUGAAAUGCGCAGAUAUCAGGAGGAGCACCGAUGGCGAAGGCAGGUCUCUGGGCAUUAACUGACGCUGAGGAGCGAAAGCAUGGGGAGCGAACAGG